rnacentral:rRNA from 1 species
GUAGGUGGCAAGCGUUGUCCGGAAUUACUGGGUGUAAAGGGAGCGCAGGCGGGUGAUCAAGUCAGCUGUGAAAACUACGGGCUUAACCCGUAGACUGCAGUUGAAACUGUUCAUCUUGAGUGAAGUAGAGGUUGGCGGAAUUCCGAGUGUAGCGGUGAAAUGCGUAGAUAUUCGGAGGAACACCGGUGGCGAAGGCGGCCAACUGGGCUUUAACUGACGCUGAGGCUCGAAAGUGUGGGGAGCAAACAGGAUUAGAUACCCUGGUAGUCCACACUGUAAACGAUGAUUGCUAGGUGUGGGGGGUCUGACCCCUUCCGUGCCGGAGCUAACGCAAUAAGCAAUCCACCUGGGGAGUACGACCGCAAGGUUG